rnacentral:rRNA from 1 species
ACACGACUACAUUAGAUACCCGUGUAGUCCUAGCCGUAAACGAUACUCGCUAGGUGUCGGCCACGGUGCGACCGUUGUCGGUGCCGUAGGGAAGCCGUGAAGCGAGCCACCUGGGAAGUACGGCCGCAAGGCCGAAACUUAAAGGAAUUGGCGGGGGAGCACCACAACGGGUGGAGCUUGCGGUUUAAUUGGAUUCAACGCCGGAAAUCUUACCGGGACCGACAGCAACAUGAAGGCCAGGCUGAAGACUUUGCCGGAUUAGCUG